rnacentral:rRNA from 1 species
UACGGAGGGGGCUAGCGUUGUUCGGAAUUACUGGGCGUAAAGCGCACGUAGGCGGCUUUGUAAGUUAGAGGUGAAAGCCCGGGGCUCAACUCCGGAACUGCCUUUAAGACUGCAUCGCUUGAAUCAUGGAGAGGUCAGUGGAAUUCCGAGUGUAGAGGUGAAAUUCGUAGAUAUUGGGAAGAACACCCGUGGCGAAGGCGGCCAUCUGGACCGGUACUGACGCUAAGGCGCGACAGCGUGGGGAGCAAACAGG